AAAACCCUUCUCCCAUACCAAAGGGAGGAGUGAUGACAUUGUUGGCGCAUAAAUACAAUGAUAUUUUCAUUCAAUAGAUUCAUGUUAAAUGUUUGUUUUUCCAAUUAUUUUCCCUUUUCGCUUUUGCAUGAAAUUGGUGAUCACAUAAAACCUAAAAAAUAGAAUAAAAUCAAUCUUUUCAUCUGCAUAAUGAUUUGCCUUGUUUGAAUUCUAAAAGCUCUUUAUAUCCAAAAUCAUUAUGCAGGUUAAUCAAACCCAUUGAAC
rnacentral:lncRNA from 1 species